UCGCGCCCCCUGGCGGCCAGCGGCGACAGUGCGCAGGGUCCGCCUACUGGUCGCGCGCCGCCGCCUCCGCCGCCGCUUGAGCCCAACAUGGCGAUGCACAACAAGACGGCGCCGCCGCAGAUCCCAGACACCCGGCGGGAGCUGGCCGAGCUGGUUAAGCGGAAGCAGGAGCUGGCGGAAACACUUGCAAACUUGGAGAGACAGAUAUAUGCUUUUGAAGGAAGCUACCUGGAAGACACUCAGAUGUAUGGCAAUAUUAUCCGUGGCUGGGAUCGGUAUUUGACCAAUCAAAAGAACUCCAAUAGCAAAAACGACCGGAGGAACCGGAAGUUCAAGGAGGCCGAACGGCUCUUCAGCAAAUCCUCAGUCACGUCGGCUGCUGCAGUAAGUGCCUUGGCAGGGGUUCAGGACCAGCUCAUCGAAAAGAGGGAACCAGGAAGUGGGACGGAAAGCGAUACUUCUCCAGACUUCCACAAUCAGGAAAACGAGCCUGCGCAGGAGGACCCCGAGGACCUAGACGGCUCCGUCCAGGGAGUGAAACCUCAGAAAGCCGCCUCUUCCACCUCCUCAGGAAGCCACCACAGCAGCCACAAAAAACGGAAGAAUAAAAACCGGCACAGUUCUCUGAGUACGCUGCCUUCAGAUACGGGGAAACACUUAAAGCUCCUCAGUGCGAGCAUCCCUCCCUCCGUAGGAACCUUCUGAGCACUGUUACUUUUGCAGUGGGAAGUGAGAUGGGAAUGACACCAGUGGACAGAGAGGUCAGGUGUCUCAGGGGACUUAGUGGCCGCUCUGCCUGGGUUUGUAUGCUACUGCUGGGCCUUAACUCAGAGGGGAAUAAGUACCUAAAGCAGGGCCCUCCCCAUCCUGGUGUUGGAAGCCUGAACACUGUGGGGUCAGAGGGGUGCGCAGGGCUGUGUGGGGCUGGCUCCCUAUCCUCUGGUUGGCUAACGAACUAUGUUGCUUUAGAAACCCGUGGGGUGUCCCCUCCUGCACCUAAGGUGUUACACUGUGAACUUCACAGACCCGGCACUGUGGAUAUUGUAGAAUUAAAUUUAACUGGUUUGAACCUCUUUGGCAUCAACAGAUUCUUGAAUUCUUUUAAACUUUUCUUGUUUUUUUUUUUUUUUUUUUUUGCUUUCUGUUUUUGUUUUUGUUUUUGUUUUAUUGCAGAAAUAGUGUUUUCUCCCUAUAAAUAGUGAUGAAGGAUUAUUGCUUUAUGGUUUUUCUGCAAACCUAAAACCACUGUGCUACCUCAAACUAUAGUGAGAAGCAACAAGACUUGUCCCCUCCCCCAUGGUGAGACUGUAGGUGAUUGGAGCACUGUGGCAGGCUUAGGGCCAGUUUAUCGCAGACAGCAAAGAGCCAUACUCUCUUUCUUUCUUUUUUAAAAGAGUUAUUUAUUUACUUAUGACUGCUCUAUCUUCAUGCACACCAGAAGAGGGAAUCAGAUCGCAUUACAGGUGGCUGUAAGCCGUGGUUGCUAGGACCUGAACUCAGGACUUCUGGAAUAAGCAGCCAGGGCUCUUAACUGCUGAGCCAUCUUCUCAGCCCAGAGAGCCAUACUCUUGAAGAGUAUUUUAUGGGUUGGGAGAUAGUUCAGUUUGUAAAGUGCUUUCCCUGCAGGCAUGAAGACCUGAGUUCUACUCCCAGCACCCACAUCAGAGCACUCAGUGAGUUGUAUGUGUACAUAAUACCAGCAUUAGGGACCAUGAGAUCUUGGGGGCUUGCCAGCUAGCCAGGCUAAAAGAAGUGAUGGGACCCUUUCUCAAAAACUAUAUGAAGGGACACCUGCAUCAAUCUCUGGCCUACACACGUGCAGACACACACACACACACACACACACACACACGCAUACACACAUACACUGACACAUGUAUAUAUACCUCACACACACACACACAGAGGGAAGAUAAUUAUUAAGUGUUUUUUAAGAUUUAUUUAUUAUUUAUGUGUAAGUACAUUGUAGGUGUCUUUAAACACACCAGUAGAGGGCGUCAGAUGUCAUUAUGGCUGGUUGUGAGCCACCAUGUGGUUGCUGGGAUUUGAACUCAGGACCUUUGGAAGAACCGUCGGUGCUCUUAACCGCUGAGCCAUCUCUCCAGCCCCUUAAGUGUUUUCUUGUAUGUUGAUUUUUUUUUUUAAUUACAUUUACUUUGUUUUCAUUUUGGUGAUUCUUUUCCUAUUUCAGAGUGUCUAGAGCAGGGAGAACAUUCUUGAAAGUCUCUCGGGACGCUGCACCCCUGACCAGUGUUCUCUUUAGACCCUGCUGGUUACGUGCGACACCCCUGACCAUUUGCACUAGUGAUGUGACCAGCUGCUGACUGACAAGAGGGUGCUAGAGAAGUGUUCAGUUUAACUUUGUCCUUGCAGGUUUCUAGAACAUUCCUACGAGCAUAACACUUCUUCCUUCUCCCCCAGGUGUGAAGCCCCUCCAGAAACACAGUAGCAUUUGAAAGACCAUCACUGGGCACUGCCCUCAUAAGAGGCGAGGCCUGCCCAGAAGGUGGACUGGGUUAUUAUAGUCAGAAUUCCUGUCCGUUCUGAUCUCCUCCCAGGCCUAAUGUGCUCACUUGCACCCCACCCCACCCCACCGCACCCCAAGAGACUGGUGCCACCAAAUUGCUCUUUCUGAGGAAGCGAGGGUCAGGACUGCCCUGGGUGGCACCUCAGUGGGCUCAGGUGGUUGGAGUCCUGUGACCUCUGCACACUCAAGGGCAGGGCAGGAGCACAUUUAUCUGGACGCGCUGGCGAGCCGCACCCAGAGCAAUGCUUUCUUUGCAGCAUGAGGCUGGUGUAGCCAGGCCGUGUUCACAGGACGCUCGUCAGCAAAUGGCUGACACUGUUGAGGAGAAACAGAAGGGAGCACUGGAAUUUACCCUCUUGUGGGGUAUGAAAGCUCACCAAGUGAUCCCCUUCCUGGGCUGGAGAUGGAACCCAGCUUCAUGUAUGCUAGUCACAUGCAGAUGAUAGGUUUCCUGAAUUCUUAUAUUUUACAUGUCUGAACGAUAGUUAAAGUCCCUCCACCCGAGAAGAAUAGUUAAGUCCCACUGUCUUUAAAGAGAAGGAAGUAAAUACUGACUGCUUGUAGAGCUCUUCACUUUUACCUUGCACCAAGAUUUGUUUUUGUAAGGUGUUGCUUAUCUGUUUUUAAGAGUUUUAUUCCAGAACCCUGGCUGGCCUCAAACUAAUUUCUUCUGCUUUAGCCCCUUGAAUGCUGGGAUUGUCAGGGAUUACCAUGCCUGCCACCAAUCCCCAGUUGAGCUAAAUAGGUACACUUUUAUUGACGUAUGCAUCUAUUGCCAACCCUGGAGGUUGAACGCAGCAUGUAACUACCAGUGAGCUCCACCGGCAGCGGAUGCUGUCUACUUUAGUUUGUGAAGGUUGAAUCAGUUUGAAAGGAACACGUUGUGAGAGUCCUGCUUGUGCACUGGUGUGUGUGUCUGUGUGUGUGUGCGUGCGUGUGUGUGUGUGUGUGUGUGUGUGUGUGUGUGUGUGUGCGCGCGCGCGCACGCACACGCGCGCCCAGGAAGGUCCUAAAUGAAACAGUGUAAGCAGUGCAUAAGCUCGGCUCCCGAGGCUCUCACAGACGUGGUCUGGCAGAGCAGCCACUGGAGUAUGGUCUUCCUGCCCGCCUGUAGGGUGAAAGGUGUCAGAGGCAUCAAGGCGCUGGAGUCACAGUCCAGGCUGAUGCUGAGAGAUCUGUGCAGAGCACGGCCUGUUGGCCAUGAGAGCACAGAAAUGGCCUGCUCUGCUGUGCGCUCACUCAUACAGCACAGAAGUGGCCUUUGUCUUGCUGGAGGCUCUGCAGACCCUGCUAUUCCUUAGUUGCUGCACUGAUAUAAACAGUUAGCUGCCAUACUAGGGAAGGUGUCACAUACCCGCAGUCACAGUGCACGAAGGCUGAGGCAGGAGGAUCACAAGUUUGAGGCCAGUGGGGGCUAUCUGUCAGGACUCUCCCCCCCCCCCCAUUAAAAAAAAACAAACCAAAAACCAAAAAAAACAGAAGGGGAAAAUGAAGAGUGAACUGUUCUGGCCAGUGCAGGCGCAGGCCACAUACCCGCAGAGUGUGAGAGAGCAGGGCUGUCUCUCUCAUGCCCUGCAGUGAGCACAUGGCUUCCGGGAGGAGCUGCCCGCACGUCCCAGGACAGGAGCUUGAACAAAAAGUUACAUGUUCGCUGUUUUCAAAGUGCAAAGUGUUGUCACCUUUUGUAUUAAUGACAAUAUGCUAUGCUGACUUCUAGCCCCUUCUGCUGUAUGACUAAGCCUCUCCCUUUCUCCCCUUUUCCCUUCCUCUCCCUCUCUCCCUCCCUCCCUCCCUCCCUCCCUCCCUCCCUCCCUCCCUCCCUCCCUCCCUUCUAAUGCACUAAUUCUGUUUUCAGUACAGAUAUCUCAGCAGUUCUAACCCCAAGUCUGGCAGUUAACACCAGGCCUGCUGCUGUCUAGAGUGCAGUCACAACCCCCACUCCCACCCCCACUCCCACCCCGCCCCCGCCUCACCCCCAGUCACCCUCUGCUCUGGUAUACACUGAGGGAAGGGACUCCCCUGACUGGCCUUUGGUGCUUUGAUGUUUGACAACUUAAUGACUUAAGAUUCUUAAAGCUGACUUUGUUUUCACAAAUCUUGCUGGGAUGGCUAAUCGACUCGUUUAUUCAAUUAGCAUAUUAAUUUCUAUUGCUCUCUUCCUCUCCAAUGCUGCCCCUCAGCCCGUCUGGCAUGUUUGAUUAUGACUUUGAGUAAGUUUGAUUUGAAUCAGUGUCUGUGCUGUGUUGUUUAGUGUAUAGACACCGGUAUGCCGUUGUGAGAUCUUUCUAACCCAUAGUUUAUCUGUUUAAUUGUAGGUAUGUAUAUUAGGUUAGGCUGGGAAGUUUUUUUUAAAAACAGAAAAACGUGAUGGAGGUAACAUUUUAUUUAAUAACUUAAGCAAAAUUAAGUAAACUUCACUUUUAUGCAUUUUAAUUUCUUUUAAAAUAGAUAACCUGUACUUUUAAUUCAUAUUUAAAUUGAUUUUCUGGCUUUGCUUUGUAAGGAGAUUAGUAGCUUAAGAUUUUGAUGUUUUGCUUGGAAAAGAUUCAAAAAUUGAAAUUCUUGUAAUUUCUUUUGUGUUUCAUAUCCAGAAACACAAAUUCCUAGUCUCUCCACUCCCAGUCACUGCGAGCCUCAGAUGCUGCCAGUGACGUGGGGACAGAGCUAACCCAUUGACCUGAGCAUGCCCUCUUGAUCCGUCUUCUCUAACUUUGCAAUAGUUUUUAUUUAAAAAUUAUGGCUUUUGUAACUGCUAUAUAUUUCCUUUUUGAAUCACCUCAGUUUACUUUAUGGCAAAAAAUCUGCUCCUGUUUUUUUAAUACUUGCUUACUAUCCGAGAGAGAGCUAAAUGAUGGCAGUGUAAUGAAGAAUCUGGGCUUAACUGAGUAGCCUGUGUUAUAGCUGUGCCCUAUGCAGUAGCUGCUUGUUGUCCCGGUUCUAUAAGCUAAAGUGCAAAUGUCUGUUUUGUUUUGUUUUUUUGCCACAGGAUUGAUCUGAAGUUAAACAAAAAGCCCCGAGCUGACUAUUAGAAGACUUGCUGGCAGAAGCUUCCAGGCUGUGAAGCUUCCCCUCUGACCUCACAGCCACAAAUGUCCCUUGCCUGACUGUGGCCAUCUGCCUCUGCCCCCCAGACCCAGUGCCUGUGACUGGCUAGUCUGACCUAACUGUAGUGACAAGUCCUCCCUAUAAGACUUUUUGGGUCAUUCGCUGCUGUCGUCAUCAUUAGUAGAACAGCGGGAAGACCUGUCCUCCGUCCCAGUCCCUGCGGGUGGCUAACUGUGCAUUUCUCCCUUCUUAGAAUGAAUGUCUCCCCCCAAACUGGCUGGCACCAGCUCCAUCUGUGACACCCCCGCCCCCAUCGAGAAGUGCACACACCUCUGAUUCUGUGUUAAGCUGAAAGUAGAACCCAAGGUCCAUUGCAGAUGGAGGCUGUAAAUAUCUGCCAUUCUCUUGUUUUGUUUUGUGUUGUAUUGUUUUUUUAUUGUUGCUUUUACCAUCUGAUUUUCUUUUGGGACAUUUUGUGAUGCCUGUACCUUCCUGAUGACACAUCUGAUCGUCUGUUUCAUGUGGUGUCGAUAUUCAUAACUGAAACUAAAGUGGCUUUUAGAAGGAAAUGGGCAGCUGCCUCUUUGGCUUCUUGAUUUCUUCAGGGGGAAGGGAGAGAGUGUUUUCACGGUGGAUGGCCUAUCAGGAACAGUUUUAUGUGGGAGGAACAAGAAGCUAAACAGCACACGUUGAAACCCUCCCAUUGGAGUAGACUCUUUGUAGGAAUAAAAUCUCCCUGGCUCGCC